ensembl:lncRNA
AGACAGGUCAUUAAGGAGCAGGUAGGGGUUAGACAGUACAGAGACAGGUCAUUAAGGAGCAGGUAGGGGGUAGACAGUACAGAGACAGGUCAUUAAGGAGCAGGUAGGGGUUAGACAGUACAGAGACAGGUCAUUAAGGAGCAGGUAGGGGUUAGACAGUACAGAGAGGUCAUUAAGGAGCAGGUAGGGGUUAGACAGUACAGAGACAGGCCAUUAAGGAGCAGGUAGGGGUUAGACAGUACAGAGACAGGUCAUUAAGGAGCAGGUAGGGGUUAGACAGUACAGAGACAGGCCAUUAAGGAGCAGGUAGGGGUUAGACAGUACAGAGACAGGUCAUUAAGGAGCAGGUAGGGGUUAGACAGUACAGAGACAGGUCAUUAAGGAGCAGGUAGGGGUUAGACAGUACAGAGACAGGUCAUUAAGGAGCAGGUAG